ACCGGCGGCUCGAGUGGUGGCCACUAUUACUGGGCUUAAAGCGUUCGUAGCUGGCUUGUUAAGUCUCUGGGGAAAUCUUCCGGCUCAACCGGAAGGCGUCUCAGGGAUACUGGCAGGCUAGGGACCGGAAGAGGUGAGAGGUACUCCAGGGGUAGGGGUGAAAUCGGGUGAUCCUUGGGGGAAGACCUGUGGCGAAGGCGUCUCACCAGGACGACACCGACGGUUAGGAACGAAAGUUGGGGGAGCAAACCG
rnacentral:rRNA from 1 species